rnacentral:misc_RNA from 1 species
GCAGGAGGUGCUUUAGAACUUUUUGUUGAAAUACCGGGGUCACUGUGCGAUGUCUAUUCAAGACUGGGCAUCCGAUCAUCUCGGGCUUUUGCUUUGGGUUCAACUAUAAUAACUAAAGGGGAAGAAUUCACCAUAUGUAGAACCGCUCUUGGGAAUUCUUUCAAGAAUGGAUCUCUUAACAAUCCGAGACCUAUAUAUACAUGAAGCUGUAUUGUGG